rnacentral:tRNA from 1 species
GGGGUAUAGCUCAGAUGGUAGAGCGCUUGGUUCGCAUUCAAGAGGUCAGGGGUUCGAUUCCCC